AAUUCUCUCUCUUCCUCCCUCAGUUCCUCCUUCCCACCCCCAUGUGUCUUCCUUUCUCUCUGUCCCUCUCUAUUUCACACUGAACCUCCAUCAAUAAACCUAGGCCUCCUGUAAUUAAUACAACAUUUCAAACUCCUCUCAUCAAACUAUAUUUCUGUUAAAUAUAGAUUUAAUUUUGUUUUUAACAAAUAUUGUUUAUCUUACUUA